CUUCAGGUUUCAAGGAGUAAAUGAGAACCACAAAGCACUGAGAACUGUCUCUUCGUGUGAAGGAAGAAGUUUGCUGGUUUUGGCAGAAGGCUUUGGAUGGUAUAAAUUUUGAAUGGUCCAAUUAAGCAGGUGGAUUUACCUCGUCCAGCUUGUCAUCUUCCCACCACCACAUUGCCAGACACCCCUAAAUGCAGUGUGCCUGGCCAUGGUGUUCUGAGGGACCAGCUAUGCAAACAGAAAUUCCACCUUAGCCACUGAUAUCAAAUGACCUGCUGCAUCCCUCUACUCCUCUUCACAAGACAACCUGGCCCUUCUGUUUGGCAGGCUCGUUAGCAGGAGGAGAAAUGGAGUGUCUGAGUGUGUAGACCAUGAAAACACAUGGAAUGAAAUUCCCACUGUUGAAAAUCUCCAGGAGGAAUGAAUUU